rnacentral:lncRNA from 1 species
CUGCUGGCUCCAUCACACUUUGCUCAGGGACUGAGAUGGGAUGGCAUUUGGAAGACACAGGUAGGAGGAAGAGGAGGCAGUGGGGGGCACAGGGAGACCCUUCCCCUUCUGGUAAAAGCCUGUGGACGAGAGAACAGCCCGAGUAAGAUUCUGAGAACCCGAGACCCGGAUGGACCUGGAGUUUUUGUCUUGCGUAUAAUUUAGGGGGUCUGUGACACUGGGCUGGAGAUAACCGUGUCUUUCCUUUCCCUGGCCUCUAGCUGAAAUUUAGCAUCAUAUUCCAUGGCGAUUUUCCACCAGUGGAAAUCACAGGUGUUCUCUGGUAUCACAGCGGGGUCAGGGAUGACCUGAAAUAUUGUUCAUGCUCAUCACAACUGCAUGGCCCACCGCGGGGUCUUGUCACUCAGUGAGUUCUUGAAGAGGCACAGACAAAUGGAGUUCAACAAAUGGAAAACAACUGCCUUUAAUUAGCUCCGAGGACUACAAAGGGAACAACGUUAUAAUAGCAGCAACUCCAAGGAAGCAGCCACAGCUCUCAGCUCUCAGACCUGGGGCUGCCGCUCAUCAUCAGCUACAGCUAGGUUUGAUGGGAGUGCCCCCAUUUCAGGGGACAGCAGGCCCCCUUCACUCCCCGACUCAGUCCCCAUCUGCAGCAGCACAGCCUUCCUUGGCCUCACCAGGGAAGAAGAACAGGCCCCGCUCUCAGACAAGCCUUCCCAGAAGCCUGAGGACUCAAACACCCAAAUGUGUCUGGGUCCCUGCCCCGAGCCGGCCACCCAGGCAGCAGCCCUGAAUCACUCGGUCAGCCAGCGGCAGGGCAGGCCAAUGGGCUGGAGGGUAGGCAGGCAGGCAGACCCACCUCUGCAUCUCUGCUGACUGCCUCGGCUGAGGAAAGGCAGCACCAGCCCCCAACCCUGAAGUUCUAGAUCUCAUGCAGCCUCUCUGUUCUGGAACCAUCCAGAGGCACUGCCCUUAUACAUGGUCCACCCCCAGGCUCAGACAAUGAGAAUUCCACAAGCAGAGGGGACUCUAUUUGGGGCACAGAGAGGUUAAGUAACUCCCCUCCUAAGGUCUCUCAGCAAGGAAGCCACUGAGCCGUGGGACUUGAGCUCAGGGACUCUUGAUCCCCAGUCUCAGGUGUCACAGCCCCAUCUGGGCUCCUGCUAGGGAGGAGGAAGGCAGCAGGGGGUGUCUGAGGCCAGGGUGCAUCAGCCCUAAAUGCCAGACAGAGGCAGGAGAAGUCUCCCCAUGAGUCCCAGCCCCAUUAGAGGCUCCAGGUCGGGGAUCCCAGACCCCCUAUCCUUGCUGGGAGACACAACCCAGAACUCUGCAUCCCUGCAGCCACCAAAAAAGGCAAAAGCUGCCCAGAAACACUUUCUCCUCUUCCGUGGCCAAAUCCACGAACUUUCUCGAGGUCUGUCCCCCUGCCCCGUGCAGGUCCAGCUUCAGUGCAGCCCAGCUCUGUGCAGUUUUCCACAAAAGCCUGUGGCUUCCUUCUCCUCCCUCUGCUUCUGAUACCCCAGGAGUUACACACAAAAUGUUGGCGGUGGUCUCCAGGAAGACCCCUGCAUCCCACAGCUCUCCCCAGAAGUUGCCAGCAGUGACCUCCUGAGCCCAGGUGGGGAGUCCCAGGCAGGACAGGGGCUGGGGCUGCAGGCCCUGGGGCCCUGUUAGUGAAGCAGCAAGCCGAGGGUCCCUGAGAGUUUCCCUUGGCCCCUCUGAGGGCUGCCCUUUGAGGUCUUGAGGUCUUGGAGUAUCCAUCGCCCCCACGGCUUACUGUCCCCACCAGCGGAGGAUGAAAGUGCCACAGCGAUGUUCCACGCCAAGAGACCACAGAGACCACCAACCCCUCUUCCCACCUCAGGCUUUCAGAGGCCAGCGGAUUUAGGCGGACAGGCUGUGCGCUUGAGGGCAGCCAGGGCGGUCAGUGGAGGGACGUGGUCCGGGGCCUGGCCACAGCUCCCCACCCAGGGCCCUGGGCUAUUGUUACUCACCGCGGAUGAAGGUCGGCGAGUAGGUCGGGAAGGAGUCGAAGAUGCUGUUCGAUGCCAUGCCCCGCUCUGAAGAAGGCGAGAAUUUUCAGCCCUUCAGGGGGUUGGGUUGGGAUUCACUUGGUUGGCUGUUGUUUUAUUUUUUUUUCCUCUAGCUACUUUUGAAAAUAAAAGGGGGGGGUGUUGCUUUUUGUU